rnacentral:tRNA from 1 species
GCCCGGGUGGUGGAAUUGGUAGACACGCAGGACUUAAAAUCCUGUGGCCUUUGGGUCGUGCGGGUUCAAGUCCCGCCCCGGGCA